AAAUUGAAGAGUUUGAUCAUGGCUCAGAUUGAACGCUGGCGGCAGGCCUAACACAUGCAAGUCGAACGGUAGCACAGAGGAGCUUGCUCCUUGGGUGACGAGUGGCGGACGGGUGAGUAAUGUCUGGGAAACUGCCCGAUGGAGGGGGAUAACUACUGGAAACGGUAGCUAAUACCGCAUAACGUCGCAAGACCAAAGAGGGGGACCUUCGGGCCUCUUGCCAUCGGAUGUGCCCAGAUGGGAUUAGCUAGUAGGUGGGGUAACGGCUCACCUAGGCGACGAUCCCUAGCUGGUCUGAGAGGAUGACCAGCCACACUGGAACUGAGACACGGUCCAGACUCCUACGGGAGGCAGCAGUGGGGAAUAUUGCACAAUGGGCGCAAGCCUGAUGCAGCCAUGCCGCGUGUAUGAAGAAGGCCUUCGGGUUGUAAAGUACUUUCAGCGAGGAGGAAGGCGUUGAGGUUAAUAACCUCAGCGAUUGACGUUACUCGCAGAAGAAGCACCGGCUAACUCCGUGCCAGCAGCCGCGGUAAUACGGAGGGUGCAAGCGUUAAUCGGAAUUACUGGGCGUAAAGCGCACGCAGGCGGUCUGUCAAGUCGGAUGUGAAAUCCCCGGGCUCAACCUGGGAACUGCAUCCGAAACUGGCAGGCUAGAGUCUUGUAGAGGGGGGUAGAAUUCCAGGUGUAGCGGUGAAAUGCGUAGAGAUCUGGAGGAAUACCGGUGGCGAAGGCGGCCCCCUGGACAAAGACUGACGCUCAGGUGCGAAAGCGUGGGGAGCAAACAGGAUUAGAUACCCUGGUAGUCCACGCCGUAAACGAUGUCGACUUGGAGGUUGUGCCCUUGAGGCGUGGCUUCCGGAGCUAACGCGUUAAGUCGACCGCCUGGGGAGUACGGCCGCAAGGUUAAAACUCAAAUGAAUUGACGGGGGCCCGCACAAGCGGUGGAGCAUGUGGUUUAAUUCGAUGCAACGCGAAGAACCUUACCUACUCUUGACAUCCAGAGAACUUUCCAGAGAUGGAUUGGUGCCUUCGGGAACUCUGAGACAGGUGCUGCAUGGCUGUCGUCAGCUCGUGUUGUGAAAUGUUGGGUUAAGUCCCGCAACGAGCGCAACCCUUAUCCUUUGUUGCCAGCGGUCCGGCCGGGAACUCAAAGGAGACUGCCAGUGAUAAACUGGAGGAAGGUGGGGAUGACGUCAAGUCAUCAUGGCCCUUACGAGUAGGGCUACACACGUGCUACAAUGGCGCAUACAAAGAGAAGCGACCUCGCGAGAGCAAGCGGACCUCAUAAAGUGCGUCGUAGUCCGGAUUGGAGUCUGCAACUCGACUCCAUGAAGUCGGAAUCGCUAGUAAUCGUGGAUCAGAAUGCCACGGUGAAUACGUUCCCGGGCCUUGUACACACCGCCCGUCACACCAUGGGAGUGGGUUGCAAAAGAAGUAGGUAGCUUAACCUUCGGGAGGGCGCUUACCACUUUGUGAUUCAUGACUGGGGUGAAGUCGUAACAAGGUAACCGUAGGGGAACCUGCGGUUGGAUCACCUCCUUACCUUAAAGAA
rnacentral:rRNA from 1 species